GAGGGUAAAGCUCAGUGAUAGAGUGCAUGCUUAGCAUGCACAAGGUCCUGGGUUCAAUCCCCAGUUCCUCCA
rnacentral:tRNA from 1 species